rnacentral:rRNA from 1 species
CUUGGUCAUUUAGAGGAAGUACAAGUCGUAACAAGGUCAUCGUAGGUGAACCUGCGGUGGGAUCAUU